UACGUAGGGGGCAAGCGUUGUCCGGAAUUACUGGGCGUAAAGCGCCUGUAGGCGGGAACGUGCGUCGGACGUGAAAGGCGGGGGCUUAACCCCCGAGCGGCGUUCGAAACGGCGUUUCUUGAGGGUCGAAGAGGAGCGUGGAAUUCCCGGUGUAGCGGUGAAAUGCGUAGAGAUCGGGAGGAACACCCAUGGCGAAGGCAGCGCUCUGGUCGGCAUCUGACGCUGAGGCGCGAAAGCCAGGGGAGCAAACGGG
rnacentral:rRNA from 1 species